GACAGAGGGUGCAAACGUUGUUCGGAAUUACUGGGCGUAAAGCGCGUGUAGGCUGCUCGGAAAGUCGGAUGUGAAAGCCCUGGGCUCAACCUAGGAAGUGCAUUCGAAACUUCUGAGCUGGAGUGCUGGAGAGGAAGGCGGAAUUCUCGGUGUAGAGGUGAAAAUUCGUAGAUAUCGGGAGGAACACCCGUGGCUAAGGCGGUUCUCUAGUACGGUACUGACGCUGAGACGCGAAAGCGUGGGGAGCGAACAGG
rnacentral:rRNA from 1 species